UUUCCGUAGGUGAACCUGCGGAAGGAUCAUUAAAGUUAUAGUCCCCUGGCCCUCUGGGCUGGGGUCUUCUAUACCACCCUUUGUUUAUUACACCUUUGUUGCUUUGGCAGGCCUGCCCACGGGCUGCUGGCUCCGGCCGGCGAGCGCCUGCCAGAGGACCUAAACUCUGUUUGUCUAUAAUGUCUGAGUACUAUAUAAUAGUUAAAACUUUCAACAACGGAUCUCUUGGUUCUG
rnacentral:misc_RNA from 1 species